GCGCAUCCCGCGGGCGGCGGCGCCGAGCGGGCAGCGGCUCCCGCGGCGCUGCCUCCGCCGGAGACAGGCGGGGCGGGGAGGGAUUUCUCACGCUUCCAUCCUCAGCGGGAAAACUCUUCUAUUUCCCAGGAAAUCCCGCGGAGGUGGGAUGGGUUAUCUGCACAGUGACAAACUUUUUAAAAUCCAGGGAGACAAUCCGCUUGGAGCCUCCCGGGACUGCUGCCCUCAUGCUCCACGGCUGUUCCGCAGUCCCCGGGUAGCUCCACACCCUUCACACCUUUCAGCUUUACCGGCCAAACUUUCACUCAGAGGUCAAGUGGAGUCAAGAAGUCAAAAGAAGUUUUGCCUGGGAUUUAAGGAGGAGGCUCCAUAGCAGUAAAGUAAGUUCAAGGUAAUAACAAGAUCAGUUAAGGAAUUAAUUUUUAACAAGUGUUUAAAAUACAGUGAGAGUAGUGAUAGAUGUGUCUGAAAGUAUGACACUGGGAGCAUGAAGAAAAGUAUUUUUCAAAUCCUCAUUUAAACAAGUUUAUAAAAUAAACUGUGAAGCCUCUGUGGUGAUUUAUGAAAC
rnacentral:lncRNA from 1 species